UGACCUGCGGAGGAUCAUUAUCGAAACCCGAGGGUGCAGAGGGGGAUCGGAAAGAUCCGUUCCUCCGAAGCCCUUCGUUUUUACUCUUUGACACACCCGCGUGCACCCCAUUCGCAAGGGUCCCUUCGGGACCUGGGCGUUUCGUCUCCGACUCGCAUGUCUACAGAAUGUCGAUAGCAUUUGAUAUAUAUAUAAAAAUACAACUUUCAGCAACGGAUCUUUUGGCUCUCGCAUCGAUGAAGAACGCAGCGAAUCGCGAUAAGUAAUGUGAAUUGGAGAUUUUCCGUGAAUCAUCGAAUCUUUGAACGCACCUUGCGCUCCUUGGUAUUCCGAGGAGCAUGCCUGUUUGAGUGUCAUUGAAAUCUCAAACCAAGCCUUCUUUUUUUGACUUCGGUCGAAGGGCUCGGGUUUGGAUCGUUGGGAGUCUGCGGGCGAAGCACGUCGUCGGCUCUCCUGAAAUGCAUUAGCGGUGGGCAUGGCAAGUCUUGCUUGGCACCAGCCUCUCCCGGCGUCAUAAUGAUCGUUGCGGGCUUGCCAGCUGCAAGGGACGUGUCCCAUGCUUCUCCCACUUUGCGAGCCCCCCCCCCCCUCCUCUCCUGGGCGCUCUGCAUUCGAAGGCUUGACCUCAAAUCAGGUAGGACUACCCGCUGAACUUAAGCAUAUCAAUAAGCGGAGGAAAAGAAACUAACGAGGAUUCCCCUAGUAACUGCGAGUGAAGCGGGAAAAGCUCAAAUUUCGAAUCUGGCGGUCCCUGGCCCGUCCGAGUGUAA
rnacentral:misc_RNA from 1 species